AGGUCAAGCUACAAAGGGCGCAUGGUGAAUGCCUUGGCACUAGGAGCCGAAGAAGGACGCGAUAAGCUGCGAUAAGCCUUGGGUAGCCGCAAAUAGGCUG
rnacentral:rRNA from 1 species